UACGUAGGGUGCGAGCGUUAAUCGGAAUACUGGGCGUAAAGCGUGCGCAGGCGGUGAUGUAAGACAGUUGUGAAAUCCCCGGGCUCAACCUGGGAAUUGCAUCUGUGACUGCAUCGCUAGAGUACGGUAGAGGGGGAUGGAAUUCCGGCGUGUAGCAGUGAAAUGCGUAGAUAUGCGGAGGAACACCGAUGGCGAAGGCAAUCCCCUGGACCUGUACUGACGCUCAUGCACGAAAGCGUGGGGAGCAAACAGG
rnacentral:rRNA from 1 species